AGCAGCCGCGGUAAUUCCAGCUCCAAUAGCGUAUAUUAAAGUUGUUGCAGUCAAAAAAGCUCGUAGUUGAAUUUUAGGCCUGGCCGGACGGUCCGUCUCUGGCGAGUACUGUUCUGUCGUCGGGUCUAUCCUUCUGGUGAGCCGGUAUGUUCUUAAUUGGGCGUGUCGGGGAACCAGGACCAUUACCUUGAAAAAUUAGAGUGUUUAAAGCAGGCUUUUGCUUGAAUAGAUUAGCAUGGAAUAAUAGAAUAGGACGUUGUGGUUCUAUUUUGUUGGUUCUAGGACCACCGUAAUGAUUAAUAGGGAUAGUUGGGGGCAUUAGUAUUCAAUUGUCAGAGGUGAAAUUCUUGGAUUUAUUGAAGACUAACUACUGCGAAAGCAUUUGCCAAGGAUGUUUUCAUUAAUCUAAGAACGAAAGUUAGGGGAUCGAAGACGAUCAGAUACCGUCGU
rnacentral:rRNA from 1 species